rnacentral:rRNA from 1 species
GUAACAUGGAUUGCUUGCAAUCUGAUGACGAGUGGCGCACGGGUGCGUAACGCGUAUGCAAUCUACCUUUUACAGGAGAAUAGCCCAGAGAAAUUUGGAAUAAUGCUCCAUAAUAUCAUUUAUCAGCAUUGGUUUAUGAUUAAAGCUCCGGCGGUAAAAGAUGAGCAUGCGUUCUAUUAGCUAGUAGGUGAGGUAACGGCUCACCUAGGCUACGAUAGAUAGGGGCCCUGAGAGGGGGAUCCCCCACACUGGUACUGAGACACGGACCAGACUCCUACGGGAGGCAGCAGUGAGGAAUAUUGGACAAUGGAGGAAACUCUGAUCCAGCCAUGCCGCGUGCAGGAUGACUGCCCUAUGGGUUGUAAACUGCUUUUAUAUAGGAAGAAACACUCCCACGUGUGGGGGCUUGACGGUACUAUAUGAAUAAGGAUCGGCUAACUCCGUGCCAGCAGCCGCGGUAAUACGGAGGAUCCAAGCGUUAUCCGGAAUCAUUGGGUUUAAAGGGUCCGCAGGCGGCCUGUUAAGUCAGAGGUGAAAUCCUACAGCUCAACUGUAGAACUGCCUUUGAUACUGAUAGGCUUGAGUUAUUGUGAAGUGGUUAGAAUGUGUGGUGUAGCGGUGAAAUGCUUAGAUAUCACACAGAAUACCCAUUGCGAAGGCAGAUCACUAACAAUAUACUGACGCUCAUGGACGAAAGCGUGGGGAGCGAACGGGAUUAGAUACCCCGGUAGUCCACGCCGUAAACGAUGGAUACUAACUGUUCGACCUUCGGGUUGAGUGGUCAAGCGAAAGUGAUAAGUAUCCCACCUGGGGAGUA